UACGCAGGGCGCAAGCGUUGUCCGGAAUUAUUGGGCGUAAAGGGCGCGUAGGCGGCACUGUUAGUCAGGCGUGAAAGUCCUGGGCUCAACCUGGGAACUGCGCUUGAUACGGCAGAGCUAGAGGAUGGAAGAGGCUCGCGGAAUUCCUAGUGUAGAGGUGAAAUUCGUAGAUAUUGGGAAGAACACCGGUGGCGAAGGCGGCGAGCUGGUCCAUUACUGACGCUGAGGCGCGACAGCGUGGGGAGCAAACAGG
rnacentral:rRNA from 1 species